UGGGAAGCUUUCACUAUGGUCAUAAUAC
rnacentral:piRNA from 1 species